GAAAAAAAGGUUCUUUGGGGUUCUAUAUAGAACCCUAGGGUUCUUUAACCAACUUUAUAGAACCCUUUCUGCCAAAAAGGUUCUAUAUAAGGAGAAAGAACCAAAGGGUUCUUUGGGCUAAAUGUGCUUUAUAUACAUUAUUAGUGCUUUAUUUAAAUUAUUACACUAUUGAACAUUAUAUUUGUGUUUUUACUUCAAUUUUACUUAGGCACACCUUUCAUUCUGAAGAAAACAAACUUAUAUACAUUUUCAAGUUUAAUAGGUUUAUUAGAAAAUAAUAAUUGCCGCAUUAUCCUGUAAUGAAAAAAAAAAUCUAAUUGUUUCUGGAUCUAGGCGCUAGGGGCAGAAUUCUGCCAUCUGCUGGUUAAAGAAAAUCCUGUAGGAAUGACUUAUAUUCUGAAAGUCAAUUCUUAUAACUCAACCCUCCAAACAGAUGCAUUAAAUGAUCUUCGACAUAAACAGCGAAUAACUUGCAUGUGUAUGCGCUGAUCAGUUCUGUACUGUCUGCACGCGCAGUGUCGGAUUUCAGCCGCGCGAGUCGUGCGCGAGUAAUUAGAAUGCGCGUGAACGCAGCAUUUUAAACUUCAACCGUUACGGACGUCCGUUUGAGCUCAGCGUUCGAGAGGACGACGAUUAAAUUGAAUCAAAAAGAAGAAAUGUGGUUUACGGUGCUGUCCGGGCCUGCGCUAUUCUCCGCCAUGAGAAAACGCACAAGAAAACGAUGUUUCAGGAGCAGUCAAAUCACGUGAUCACUGUACACCCAGACUGUUAUAAACAUGAAUUCAAGAGAAACCACGAAGAACAAAGAGAGGAGGUGAUGAAGAUGCUUCUUCUGUGGAUAUAGCUGGAUGGACUCUGGAGUGCAGCAUUACUUCAAUAAGAUGAAAAUAACACACCUGUAUGAUUCAAGAUGUCAAGCCCCCUGAACGCAAAGAGAGUCUGCAUCAAAAUGGACGUGAACCUGACUGAAAACACAGAGAUGUCAAAAGUAUCUGUUGGCUGUCUACUUUUUGUUCAAUAUGGAGCAUCCAAAUGCCAGUUUCUUUCAUUCAGCACUAUUUAGCCCUUCUCAGUACUGAAUUUGCCGCCAUGGGUCAUUUGUUUUUAUUGUUUAAAUGCUUAUCUGAAUGUUAAAUUAUAAUUUAAUGCUCAUGAAUUAAAAAAAAAAAAAAAAAUUCUACUAGC